rnacentral:misc_RNA from 1 species
GAUGAAGAACGUAGCAAAAUGCGAUACUUGGUGUGAAUUGCAGAAUCCCGUGAACCAUCGAGUUUUUGAACGCAAGUUGCGCCCGAAGCCUUUUGGCCGAGGGCACGUCUGCCUGGGCGUCACGCAUCGCGUCGCCCCCCACAAUUCUCCGUAAAGGGAACAUGUGUUUUGGGGGCGGAUAUUGGUCUCCCGUGCUCAUGGCGUGGUUGGCCGAAAUAGGAGUCCUUUCGAUGGACGCACGAACUAGUGGUGGUCGUAAAAACCCUCGUCUUUUGUUUCGUGCUGUUGCUCGCAAGGUAAACUCUUUAAAAACCCCAAUGUGUCGUCUCUUGACGACGCUUCGACCGCGACCCCAGGUCAGGCGGGACUACCCGCUGAGUUUAAGCAUAUCAAUAGCGGAGGA